CAGCUCCGCCCGCCCGCGCGCGAGGCUGGGCGGGGAGGGCGGGGCCAGGAAGCGGCGAGCGCGCUGGGGAGCGCAGCUGCGGGCGUGGGGGUGGCAGGAGCCGCGGAGCCGGCACCGAGAGCGGCUGCGGCCGGAGCGGGCGGCCGAGACAAAGGCAGCGAUAAGGCCAGGAGUAUGGAUUUUUGAGUGAAACCUCAAAUCCAAAUGAGAAGAAACCUUCAAGGAACAAUUGUCGACAGUCUGUGUGCAAAAUCAUCUGUGUGCAGCAAAUGGAAUGUUCUCACCCCAGAGGUAACUGAAUGGAUGGCUCCAUUGCUGAGGAGUGACUCCCUGCUAUAGACUAUAAGUUCAAGACAACAGUUUUUGUACUUUCUGGUGGUGCAGAAGCAUGUCUCUAUAGAACCAGAAACAAAGCGAGAAAAGAAUCUGACUUUUUCUUUAAAUUGUGGAAGAUACUUGACUUCCAGGAACAAAAGCACAAUAAAAUAACAAUAUUAUUUUGGCUUUACUGAACAUUCAUCUUAUUGAGGAGUGUGCCUGAGUUGAAAUUCGGAAUCCUCACUGCUGCUACACUGUACCUUGAACUGUAACCAUGAGUGAAUUCUGGUUGUGUUUCAACUGCUGUAUCGCAGAACAGCCUCAGCCCAAAAGGCGACGACGGAUCGACCGAAGUAUGAUUGGAGAGCCAACCAACUUUGUACACACGGCUCACGUAGGAUCAGGAGACCUGUUCAGUGGGAUGAAUUCAGUUAGCUCCAUUCAGAACCAAAUGCAGUCCAAGGGCGGCUAUGGCGGGGGCAUGUCUGCCAACGUGCAGAUGCAGCUGGUGGACACGAAGGCAGGAUAGCCGUGCUUCCCUCCCCGUUAUUGUGAAUUUCUAUAUUUUUUGUCCACUAUUCUCUAAAUUUGGUCUUGUGAUUGCAUUUCUCUUAUUUUUAAUUACAAACAAGAAGUGUGAUGACAGCUUGUUCACCUCCUUGUGAUUCCUCCGCUGAGAUGUUACUGUUUUGCUUCAAGAAGAUUCUGUCAGCCGAGCCCUGCAUUCCCUUCAGCUGCCGUGCAUGCCUUUGGACUCCUGGACAGAGCUCUGGGGUUGUAGCUGGAUUUCCCAGUUUAAUCAGUGUGGAUCUGACCGCAGCAUGAUUUUUCUUUGUGAAUGCGAACACCAUUUUGUAGUUCUUCUCCAUUUUAAACAUUGUUCUUUCACUUCCACCCCCUCUGCCUUAGCAUUUUCCCAGUAAGCAGGGACACACUGUUAUUUGCUAACUUGUCACCACGGAUGCAUACUUGCAAGGGGUGGGACCCACAGGCGUGACCUUUUUAUCUGAAACGUCGACAGACUAGGGCUGUGUGUGCUUUCUGCAGGCGCUUCGCUGGGAGCCCUCAGGAUGCAGCGCUGAAGGGUCCUCGCUGCUCUGGGUUAGUGAUGCUGCUGCUGCUACAGCACCUCGCAGCCCAGUGUGGAGGCGCAGCGUGGCGUCUGGUUGGAAUUGCAGUAAAAGCAACGCUAGCGUUCUGACAGCAUUCGUCUGUUGUAAAUGGUCAGGGUAUUUAUCUGAGCGCCAGGACCUGUGAAUGCGAAAAGGUGUGGUUCUGUAUCUGCGUGUGGGGCAGUCUGCUCCGCCAGUCUGAUUCUGAGCAUCUUCACUGCUCUGUGUACGCGUCUCCCUUUACCUGUUCAGUUACGUUUAAUACGACGCUGUCCAGUGUGUGGCGCUGUGGCCAGUGCACUCCGCCAGGCCUCUCUGAAGUGUACAUGUUUUGCAGGCCAUGGAAGUCGGCAAGAACAGCACACUGACCUGGCUGAACCACUGCCAGGGAAAACAGCCUUGGCUCAGGUUCCAAAAUAUAUUUAUCCUUUGCUGAUUUUGUGUAUUUCAGAUACUUCUGUAAAUGUUUCUUUUUCUACACCAGAGUAUUGUUACGCCCCAGUCAGUGGUUUGUGUUCUGCUUAAACCCCAGGUCCGAUUUAGGCCUAUCCCACGGUAUUUGGUAGGAUUAACGUUUCAUGCAGUGCUAUUGAGGAACCGUUGCCCUCUGCUUUCACUUACCUUAGUCCCAGGUGCUGGCGAAACGCUGCCUGAGCGGAGUGUCAGGUUGACGCAGGCAAAACAUGAAUGCAUUUCUCCUCCGCAUCUUCCCAGAGUAGAGCACCAGCGUACUCCAUCCUUGUGUUUUGCCAUGUUGAGCCUUCCUACCUGCCAGUUCCAAGCACAGAGAAACAAUCUGUCAAGGCAAAACAUUGGACUCUUCAGAAAUAAGCAGUUUAACAACUUCUAAACCUCACUUCCUCUGCUGUCAUUAAUUCAUGGUGCAUCCUGGGAUCUGCCCAGCUGCACUGCUGGUGUGAGCUCUCUGACAGAUGAGGGUUUUUGGCAUUAUGAGCACUGAAAUGAUUGUCUACUUCAGUUGUGACUUGUUGUGCCUGUCAUUUUGCUCCUGAAACAAGAGGAUCAGGAGCCGUUGUCCUUCGCCCAGCUCCUGGUUUAUUUUAUUCUUUAUUCUCAUCGCUAUGUUUGCGGCUUCUCCAAGGAGCAGUGCGUGCCGGCAGCGCAAGAGUGUUUCACGGUGAACCCUGGGCUGGGCGCUUCAGCCUUUUGCUGUGGUGCAGCUGCCGUAACCCCACAGGCCCAGGGACGACCCCUGUAGAGCAGCCCGUGCCAUUAUUCAGGGAGGCGGCUAACCCCGUUCACACGUGGGGCCAUGGUUCCCAGGAGGCAUUGCUCCCUUUAGCAACACCUCUCUGAAUCGAAGAUAAUUUAAUCAACGGAGGUCCGGCUCGAGGUUCACGACGCUGUCAGUACUUUGCUAACAGCUGCUCAGGCGAGGGGAGCGGGACGAAGAGUGAUCCCACGGAUUGGGGCAGCAUCCGCUUUCACUCGUGUUACUAAAUUAUAGCAGUUUCAUUAGAGAACAAGUUUGCCUUGAUUUUGUUUAAAAUGACUUCUGCUUAGCACCCAGAAGAUAAAAUUGACAUAUUUUUAUAAUAUAAGCAUACUUUUUUUGUACAUUGUGUUCAUUCUUGAAUAAAGUGAGUUCAGUGUUGGCUUAUAGAUAUUAAAAGAAAGUAUUGAUUUUGAUUCAAUAAAUGUUUUCUUCCAA